rnacentral:rRNA from 1 species
AUUGAACGCUGGCGGCAUGCCUUACACAUGCAAGUCGAACGGCAGCACGGGUGCUUGCACCUGGUGGCGAGUGGCGAACGGGUGAGUAAUACAUCGGAACAUGUCCUGUAGUGGGGGAUAGCCCGGCGAAAGCCGGAUUAAUACCGCAUACGAUCUACGGAUGACAGCGGGGGACCUUCGGGCCUCGCGCUAUAGGGUUGGCCGAUAGCUGAUUAGCUAGUUGGUGGGGUAAAGGCCUACCAAGGCGACGAUCAGUAGCUGGUCUGAGAGGACGACCAGCCACACUGGGACUGAGACACGGCCCAGACUCCUACGGGAGGCAGCAGUGGGGAAUUUUGGACAAAGGGCGAAAGCCUGAUCCAGCAAUGCCGCGUGUGUGAAGAAGGCCUUCGGGUUGUAAAGCACUUUUGUCCGGAAAGAAAUCCUUGGCUCUAAUACAGUCGGGGGAUGACGGUACCGGAAGAAUAAGCACCGGCUAACUACGUG